CUCAUCCACUGCCCCUUCCCUCCCCCCCAGGCCAACCAGGCUCCCACUUUUUAAUAAUUUGGAGUGUAUUGGAUGCAAAAAAAGUAAAAAAAGAAAAAAUCAGCUUUGUUGCCUUCUGUGAAGAGGUUUUGGGGAGGAGGAGGUGUUUUGUCUCUUGCUCAUCCUCCAGACAGGCCCUCCUGGGGUACAAGCCCAAUGUUGAGUUAUUUCUCUAUUUUUUUCCUGUGUUGAAAGCUGAUGUCCCCGGGCUGUGUUGAUUUUGGUGGCCCCAGAUGGCCUCAGCUCAAUGGUGCAGGAGCUGGGGUGGGACCUACAGGUGCCCUGGAGCCUGGCUGGGCAGCAGGUCCCAUCUAACCCCCCUCGCUGCCUCCUGCCUGCAUCAGCUCUGCCCGCUCACCCUUGGAAUGCCCCAAGGACCUGGAGUCCCUUCCUCUUGCUGCAGCUUCACCCUGGGUGCUGCUGCCGGGCUGGGGGAUGCCGGGCAUCCAUGGGGAUGCUGAGGCCGGGGUGCCCCGAGGGAUGGGGGCAGUGAUGUGGAAGCCAAGUAUGGCUUUUUCCUUUUCUUUUAGAAUUACUAUCUUUACUGUGACUAAACACCUGCUUUAAUGAUAUUUGCAGCUUGUUCUUUAGCAAGUUUGGGACUAUGAACAAGUGCAAAGUGCACAAAGAGUCACUUUGAAGGCUACUGUGGCUGUGCUCUUCUCUUUCCUGCUUUGGUUCCUGAAUCCAGACAGUGCUUGCUCAGGGUUUUCUUCCUUCUUUGUAUUUCCAUAGGGAAAGGGGGCGGGAGGAGAGGAUAACCCAACUUUUGGCCAUUUGUUUUGUUUUCUUUGAUACUUGAAGCAGUUUUUUGCAUCGUAGUAACAAAGCUGCCUGGCGCUUAGCCUGGUCCACUGCUCCAGGAAAAGAAAUCAGUGAUGGGGUGGUUCCUGCCUCAUGUCUGGCACAGAUUCUGGUUUUUGGCUUGACAUGGCUUGGCUUGGGUAGACCAUGAUGCCCUGGACCAGUUGACCUGCCGGUGGUGAGGGCUGGUGAGGGUGGCAGCGUGAUGAGCUGCGGAGAGGUGUGUGAUGCUUCAGAGGAGUGGGGACGGGCAGGGCCAGGGGCUCUAUUUGCACUUUACCCACGUCAGCAAAUAAAACUCGUGCUCUUGCUGAAGCCCAGAGCUGGGGCAGCUCGUCCCGUGCCCGGCAGCACCAUGGGAGGAGGCUCCUUCUGCGCAGUGAUGCCUGUUGGUGCUUACCUGUACCGGGGGCAUGCAGCUGGAGGGCAAACAUGAGCAGGGGGUGUACUGGGGACCACAGAGCUGAGCUUGGGGUGCCCUUCUUCCCCAGCCAUCCCCAAGGAGGUGGAGUGGCCCAGGUCCUUGGCCAUGGGGGUGUCCCCAUUCCCCGGGAGCAGUUGCUGGGGUCCAGCUCUUGGGCAGCUCAGCCAGGCUGGAGGGACUGGGGGGGGCUAUUCCUCCACCACCUCCCCAACAGUUUGGGUUUGCCAAAAGCUUGAGGCAAACUGGGAGCGGAGCCGGGUGUCGGAGAUCAAAAGUCGUCCUGUGUGUGUCUGUGUGCGUAUAUAUAUAUAUUAUAUAAAUAUAUAUUAAAAGAGAUAAUGCAAAGGAUUCCUCCUCCUUUUUGGCACUUGCUGGGGCUGGUGAGCAGGCCGAGCCCCGCGGCCGGCCUCUGCAGUUGGCUGUAGGGAUUAACUCUGGACCAAACCCGAGCCCAGGCAGUCGGUCCUUGGCCAGUGGGGCCACCCCGGGGGCAGCAGCAGAAGUACUUGAAUGGCUUAGGACAGAGAGUCUGAAGAGAGUCAAGUUGCACAGUGAAAAUAUAUAUUUUUAUACCUAGCACAACUUCCUGUAUAUUUUGGGGGUUUUUCUUUCUUUUUCUUUUUUUUUUCCUUUUCCAUUUUCUUUCAUUUCUUUUUCUUUUUUUUUAUUAUUUGGGUUUGUUUUAUUAAUUAUUAUUAUUAGGAAGGCAAACUUCUAAAAUGUGAAGGGCGUUGGGUUUCUCCUUAUCUGGUAGAUGAGGGCAAGCAUUUUGCACUAAUGUUUCCUGUGUGUGGAGGAUUAAUGAUAUGUUUGAAAAUGUUACAUGGAAAUGAUUGUAUUCUUCCGAGAAAAAAAAAAAACCCUACAAAAACAACAAAAAAAAAAUAGAGUAACCCCUCUCAAACACUGAAUGUAAGGUGGGAACAGAGCAGUCAUCGAUUGUAUGCGGCUUUCCUGAGUGCCUUAGAAUUUUU
ensembl:lncRNA